GGCCGUGUGGUCUAGUAGUAUGAUACUCCCUUCGGGUGAACAAAUCCAGAGCGUGUUUGCUCUCUAAUUGGGAGUGGUCCUGGGUUCAAUUCCCAGCUCGGCCC